GCUCGAUUGUAUUAGAUGGUUUUGUCCCAAUGCUGUUCAGAGACAGCCCAAGAGCCAAGGGACAGCUCGAGAUCUCUUCCAAAUGGAGGUCGCAGACCCUCCUCGUCCGGGCUCUGCCCCUGCUUCUUGGGAACCAGAGCAGACAAUGGUGGAUGAGGAAGGAGUGCAACCUCUGCUCUGGCUGUCCGCAGAGCUGAGGAGACACCGGGAGGAUGGCCCUGCAGGUGGCCACACCACCCCAAGCAUCCUUGAAGCCCCGGCAGGUAAGAGGUGUGCCAGUAGGAUCCCCAAGGAAGGGGGUCUGGGAAGUCACUCUCCAUAGGAUGGGAUGUACCUCGCCUCAUUUUCAUCCACUGAGCUGUCUGCGAUUUUAUAAAUGAGGUUGAUGGUCCAAAGGCUUGUCUGCCAUUUCCGCUAUCAGACAGUCCAACCAGGCUGGCGGGUCAACUCCUCCCGUUGACUCAGAGGAGCUGCCCAUCUCCUCCGGACUCUGAGCCUCACUAGAUGAUUCUUACUGACCAUCUCAGAUCGUUUUCUGUGAGUUCUAUCUUCAUCCCCAACCUGGGCUUUAUAUUUUGGCAAUGUUCUUCUCUGUCAUCUAAGUGAGUCAACUUAGAAAUGCUUCUGUGCAUUAUCACGACCUGUGAUGUUCUAGUUAAAUAAUUUCCAAUUUCGUAAUUUUCACACUCAACAAAUGAUAUUCAAAAUAGCCAUUCUGCAGCUCUCCUAAACGGCAGAUGUUAUUACAGGCUGUUGUGGAUUAGAAGCAGGCUGAAAGUGGGACCUCUGCUGGAUCCCAUGUAAACCCAACACCCAGCUUAAAGUCUAAGGUCUAAUGGUGAUGCUUGGCCCCCACCUUCACCACCACCUGUCACCCUCAAUGCUGCAGCAAGAGGAGGACAAUGGGAAGAUCCCCAGUGGUCUCCUCGGCCCAAGAAGUAGUGGGGCUCCUGCCACCUGUGGACCACGAUGAUGUCAUCAAGCUCACUCCAACCAAAUGGGAGAGAAAGUGGCCUUCUUCCCUCUGGAUGCGGUGGGACUUGUUCUCAGCUGCUUCAUCCAAAGAUGUACAAGAGCUUCACCAGGCUCCAGCUCUCUGCUGGGAUCUGGCUGUGAGACAAGGCGACGACAGUGAAGGAGGUUGGUUCGUGACCAUGCUACCUCAGGACCAUCGGGGGACCGCAGUGCAUUCCGGAGGACAUGGGGACAGAUUCACAGACAGCGCCAUAACAGACUGGAAAACUGCUGGGGUUACUGUUUUCAUCAGUCUUGCCCCUCCCAUCUGUGCCCGGCCAUCACUGAGCAGAGGAAUGAAGGCUGCUGCUGAGUCAAACAGGAUGCCACCAGCAGCUGGAGGUCCAGAUGCAGGAGACAGGAGGAGGGGGUUCUGA
rnacentral:lncRNA from 1 species